rnacentral:rRNA from 1 species
UACGUAGGGUGCAAGCGUUGUCCGGAAUUAUUGGGCGUAAAGAGCUCGUAGGCGGUCUGUCGCGUCGGAUGUGAAAAUCCAGGGCUUAACCCUGGGCCUGCAUUCGAUACGGGCAGACUAGAGUGCGGUAGGGGAGACUGGAAUUCCUGGUGUAGCGGUGAAAUGCGCAGAUAUCAGGAGGAACACCGGUGGCGAAGGCGGGUCUCUGGGCCGUAACUGACGCUGAGGAGCGAAAGCGUGGGGAGCGAACAGG